rnacentral:rRNA from 1 species
AGAGUUUGAUCCUGGCUCAGGACGAACGCUGGCGGCGUGCCUAACACAUGCAAGUCGAACGGACUGAUUCCCUUCGGGGAUGAAAGUUAGUGGCGAACGGGUGAGCAACGCGUGAGGAACCUGCCUUUCAGAGGGGGACAACAGUUGGAAACGACUGCUAAUACCGCAUGAAACAACUGGGUCGCAUGAUCUGGUUGUCAAAGAUUUUAUCGCUGAAAGAUGGCCUCGCGUCUGAUUAGAUAGUUGGUGGGGUAACGGCCUACCAAGUCAACGAUCAGUAGCCGGACUGAGAGGUUGAACGGCCACAUUGGAACUGCGACACGGUCCAAACUCCUACGGGAGGCAGCAGUGAGGAAUAUUGGUCAAUGGGCGAGAGCCUGAACCAGCCAAGUAGCGUGCAGGAUGACGGCCCUAUGGGUUGUAAACUGCUUUUGUGCGGGAAUAACGUGCUCCACGUGUGGGGCAGUGCAUGUACCGUACGAAUAAGGAUCGGCUAACUCCGUGCCAGCAGCCGCGGUAAUACGGAGGAUCCGAGCGUUAUCCGGAUUUAUUGGGCUUAAAGGGAGCGUAGGCGGAAGGUCAAGUCAGCUGUGAAAUGUAGUCGCUCAACGUCUGCACUGCAGUUGAAACUGGCCUCCUUGAGUGCGUAAGAGGCAGGCGGAAUUCGUCGUGUAGCGGUGAAAUGCUUAGAUAUGACGAAGAACUCCGAUUGCGAAGGCAGCUUGCUGGGCCGCAACUGACGCUGAAGCUCGAAGGUGCGGGUAUCGAACAGGAUUAGAUACCCUGGUAGUCCGCACAGUAAACGAAGGAUACUCGCUGUCG